AUUUUGCUCUUCCAUGAUGGGUGGGCAGAGUGCCUUUCACAUUCCUUCGUAGAACUUAAUGCUCAUUGUCACUCCCUCUCCCCCUUUUCUCUCCUUCCCCCCUCCAUUCUUGUGGAUAAAUUGUCUCAUAUUUCUAUUGUGUAAGACUCAUCUUCACUUUUUAAAGGAAAUCAACUUCCUAUUAUUUUUGUAGUACACCCAUUUUCUUUUCAACAACAAUUCCUAAGAUGAUUUUGCUAUUUAUGUUACUUGUUUUGUUUAGAUAUUUAUGCUGGUCAUGAAAUUUCAUCCUGGCUACUUAUUUUGCUAUUUCAUACUCUCGAGUAGUUUUUUUUAGAUAAAUCAUGCAACUAUGCC
rnacentral:lncRNA from 1 species